rnacentral:lncRNA from 1 species
ACAAACUGAAGUCUUCCCCAUGUUACUAAUUCAACACAUCCGAAGAUGGAAUGAACAGAAUAAAUUUGUGUCUGAAUUCAUUUAUAAGAAAUUUCACUUCUCAAGCCCUUUUAACUCGAUCGCCGCCUCUGAAGCUAGUUUUCUUGAUAAAACAUGAAACCCCAACUCAAAAAGGGAAAGUACAGCACAUAGUAGACUGUACUAAACUUUGAAGUUUCCAUGCACUGUGAUUAGUGCUUACGCUCAAUAGAAUUGUAUCGUAUAUCUCCACGGUUGGUUUCAGAAUGAAUGGUGAUGACGAGCCAUUUC